rnacentral:rRNA from 1 species
AUACGGAGGGUGCGAGCGUUGUUCAGAAUUAUUGGGCGUAAAGAGCAUGUAGGCGGUCUGUUAAGUCUGGUGUGAAAGCCCGGGGCUCAACCCCGGAAGUGCAUUGGAUACUGGCAGACUUGAGUAUGGGAGAGGAAAGCGGAAUUCCGAGUGUAGGAGUGAAAUCCGUAGAUAUUCGGAGGAACACCAGUGGCGAAGGCGGCUUUCUGGACCAAUACUGACGCUGAGAUGCGAAAGCGUGGGAAGCAAACAGGAUUAGAAACCCGAGUAGUCC